GGAGGCAGCAGUGGGGAAUAUUGGACAAUGGGCGCAAGCCUGAUCCAGCCAUGCCGCGUGAGUGAUGAAGGCCUUAGGGUUGUAAAGCUCUUUUGUCCGGGAAGAUAAUGACUGUACCGGAAGAAUAAGCCCCGGCUAACUUCGUGCCAGCAGCCGCGGU
rnacentral:rRNA from 1 species